GAUGAACGCUGGCGGCGUGCCUAAUACAUGCAAGUCGAGCGAACAGAUGAGGAGCUUGCUCCUCUGACGUUAGCGGCGGACGGGUGAGUAACACGUGGAUAACCUACCUAUAAGACUGGGAUAACUUCGGGAAACCGGAGCUAAUACCGGAUAAUAUAUUGAACCGCAUGGUUCAAUAGUGAAAGACGGUUUUGCUGUCACUUAUAGAUGGAUCCGCGCCGCAUUAGCUAGUUGGUAAGGUAACGGCUUACCAAGGCAACGAUGCGUAGCCGACCUGAGAGGGUGAGCGGCCACACUGGAACUUAGACACGGUCCAGACUCCUACGGGAGGCAGCAGUAGGGAAUCUUCCGCAAUGGGCGAAAGCCUGACAGAGCAACCCCGCGUGAGUGAUGAAGGUCUUCGGAUCGUAAAACUCUUUUAUUGGGGAAGAACAAAUGUGUAAGUAAAUAAACACGUCUUGACGGUACCUAAUCAAAAAGCCACGGCUAACUACGUG
rnacentral:rRNA from 1 species